GUAGGUGGCAAGCGUUGUCCGGGAAUUAUUGGGGCGUAAAGCGCGCGCAGGCGGUUCUUUAAGUCUGAUGUGAAAGCCCACGGGCUCAACCGUGGAGGGUCAUUGGAAACUGGAGAACUUGAGUACAGAAGAGGAAAGCGGAAUUCCACGUGUAGCGGUGAAAUGCGUAGAGAUGUGGAGGAACACCAGUGGCGAAGGCGGCUUUCUGGUCUGUAACUGACGCUGAGGCGCGAAAGCGUGGGGAGCAAACAGGAUUAGAUACCCUGGUAGUCCACGCCGUAAACGAUGAGUGCUAAGUGCUGGGGGGUUUCCGCCCCUUAGUGCUGCAGCUAACGCAUUAAGCACUCCGCCUGGGGAGUACGGCCGCAAAGGCUG
rnacentral:rRNA from 1 species